CAACUCAUGUAGCUCGUGCCUGAGCAAGUCGUUAUCAUUACCUGUCGUCACGUCAUUUUUGCGCCACUGGGACAUUCAACGCCAACGCAAUCGGCGGCCGUUUUACGUACGGCUGUACACCUCGGCUGCUCCUAUUCGUAUUCGUCCAAUUGCUAUAGUGUUCCCGAAAAAAGCUGCCUCAUCUGCAUUUGCGAGCCCGCAGAGACGCCAACACGCAAUAGACACACCUCGACAACUACGAUAGAUUUGGUCGAAUCAGAGAAGAAAAUAUAUGUGACAAAUUACUUCAUAUUCAGACCUGUUUCAAUGGGAAUGAAAGAAAAGAUUUGCCUGGUGAUGAGGUUGGAGACGUCGUGCACACUUCGAUCUACCGUUUACAGAAAUCCAUCAGUAUGCUGACGUCAAAACGAUAGUGACAUUUCGGGCUACGGGAUAUACUGUUGAACUGUUGAAAGUCAACUGUCAGCACUAUACAAGAGACAGGCUCGCAGAGCUCAAACUAGCCACAUGGACGGUACUCUAAAAUAGGGUCAAGGUGUUGACGUCCAGCCGAAUGAUUGGCGCUUUUGAUACGGAGCUACAUGGGCACGUUCGUUGACGACCAUGUGUUCCACGAGUGACGCGUCAUUUAUAUCACCCUGAACAAAUGCACCUGCGCAUUGACACAUGAUAUACACAAGCUAACUAGAGUUAAGGCAGAGGAACUCGACGGGUUUC